rnacentral:rRNA from 1 species
UCGGGAAACCGGGGCUAAUACCGCAUAAUAUCUUUGGGAUGAAAAGCCGAAGAAUCAAAGGAGCAAAUUCGGCUGGAAGAGGGAGUCGCGGUGAUUAGCUAGUUGGCGGGGUAUGGCCACAAGCUUGAUCGGU